CUGGCUCAGGAUGAACGCUAGCGACAGGCUUAACACAUGCAAGUCGAGGGCAGCAUAAAAGUAGCAAUACUUGGUGGCGACCGGCGCACGGGUGAGUAAUGCGUAUGCAACCUACCUAUCAGAGGGGAAUAACCCGGCGAAAGUCGGACUAAUACCGCAUAAAACAGGGGCACCGCAUGGUGAUAUUUGUUAAAGAAAUUCGCUGAUAGAUGGGCAUGCGUUCCAUUAGGUAGUUGGUGAGGUAACGGCUCACCAAGCCGACGAUGGAUAGGGGAACUGAGAGGUUGGUCCCCCACACUGGUACUGAGACACGGACCAGACUCCUACGGGAGGCAGCAGUGAGGAAUAUUGGUCAAUGGGCGGGAGCCUGAACCAGCCAAGUCGCCGUGAAGGAAGAAGGAUCUAUGGUUCGUAAACUUCUUUUGCAGGGGAAUAAAGUGCAGGACGUGUCCUGUUUUGUAUGUACCCCGAGAAUAAGGAUCGGCUAACUCCGUGCCAGCCGCGGC
rnacentral:rRNA from 1 species